CCUACGGGUGGCAGCAGUGAGGAAUAUUGGUCAAUGGACGCAAGUCUGAACCAGCCAUGCCGCGUGCAGGAAGACGGCUCUAUGAGUUGUAAACUGCUUUUGUACGAGGGUAAACGCAGAUACGCGGAUCUGUCUGAACGUAUCGUACGAAUAAGGAUCGGCUAACUCCGUGCAAGCAGCCGCGGUAAUACGGAGGGUGAAAGCGUUAUCCGGAUUUAGUGGGUUUAAAGGGGGCGUAGGCGGUCGGAUAAGUUAGAGGUGAAAUCCCGAGGCUCAACUUCGGAAUUGCCUCUGAUACUGUUCGGCUAGAGAGUAGUUGCGGUAGGCGGAAUGUAUGGUGUAGCGGUGAAAUGCUUAGAGAUCAUGCAGAACACCGAUGGCGAAGGCAGCUUACCAAGCUACUUCUGACGUUGAGGCACGAAAGCGUGGGGAGCAAACAGGAUUAGAUACCCGGGUAGUC
rnacentral:rRNA from 1 species